UACGUAGGUGACCAGCGUUGUCCGGAUUUACUGGGCGUAAAGAGCGCGCAGGCGGUCGUACAAGUCGCGUGUGAAAGCCCCUGGCUCAACUGGGGAGGGUCACGCGAUACUGUUCGACUUGAAGGCAGGAGAGGGAAGUGGAAUUCCCGGUGUAGUGGUGAAAUGCGUAGAUAUCGGGAGGAACACCAGUGGCGAAGGCGACUUCCUGGCCUGUUCUUGACGCUGAGGCGCGAAAGCUAGGGUAGCAAACGGG
rnacentral:rRNA from 1 species